ensembl:lncRNA
CAAGGAGUCUGUUCAAAAUCAAAAAAAGUAAUGGAAUUGAAAUUGAAAAUGUAAUUUCAUCCCCAACAUCUUCUCUUUAGGACUCUUGUUCUGGAAGCAGAAUGCUCGGAAGAUUGUUGCCCUCUGUGACAGUGCCUACCAGGAUUUGAUGAGACGGAAGAGAAGAAGGACAAGUGGCAUUGAUGACCAAACUGUCCGAUGUGUCGAGGAGCUGGUGCUGGCAGCCGAAGAGCUGCCAGCUAUUACGGAAGCACUGCGGGACCUGGGGCUAUAUGCUCGGGCAAAUAGGGUCAGCACGGUGGCUCUGACUGGUGACCAGGUGGCAACAGUCAGGUCAACGUUUCAGUGCCUUAUAUGCAGAGAUGUGAUGGAAAACCCAGUUGUGGCACCGUGCUGCCGCAGCCUCGUUGGAUGCCGGGUCUGCGUUGAGCAGUGGGCAACUACCUCGCCGCACUGCCCAAAAUGCAGGGACGAGAUGUUCCAAGAAAAAAAAAUUGAAAUUACAGGGAUGGGGGAGAUUGUGAAUGUUUUGAAGGACACUAUUAGUUAGGGGAUUGUUUUAGUUAGUUUUUAUUUUAGUUAAGUUAAGUUAAAUAGUUAAGUUUGGUUAUGUUCAUCUGUUAUGUUAUUUUAUGCAAUUAAUAAAUUGUUUAAUUUUAUUUUCUAUUAUUCUCA